rnacentral:rRNA from 1 species
GACAGAGGUCCCGAGCGUUAGGCGGAAUCACUGGGCUUAAAGCGUGUGUAGGCGGAUGCCUAAGUACCUUGUGAAAUCCCACGGCUCACCCGUGGAACUGCUUGGUAUACUGGGUGUCUUGAGCCACUUAGGGGCUACCGGAACAAAUGGUGGAGCGGUGAAAUGCGUAGAUAUCAUUUGGAACGCCAAUGGUGAAAACAGGUAGCUGGGAGGGUGCUGACGCUGAGACACGAAAGCCAGGGGAGCAAACGGG